UAAGAGGAUCCACAAAGGAGAUUGAGAUUGAAUAUCUAAUGAUACUGAAGAAAAAUCAGAUGAGUGAUGUCAUGGCAAGCAAAGACAGAAUAGUUCAAGGAGGAAAUAUUCCACAUAGCCUAAACUUACAAAAGAAGUCCCCUUGCUUGAGGCUGGAGGAUACACACAAUUGUAAGGCAUCUCCAACCAGGAGGAAAAGAGCAACCCCUUAAAGAUAAUAAAUAGAAUGUCAUCAUGGAGGGAAUCCAAGUCCCUCAGUGGCCUCCUGGAGAAGAUUAGGAAACUGAAAGAAGUCAUGAAGAACCAAUCAAGACUUUAAGGUAAAUGCCU